AAACCAACAGGGAUUACCUCAGUAACGGCGAGUGAAGCGGUAACAGCUCAAAUUUGAAAUCUGGGUCUUUCAGGCUCCGAGUUGUAAUUUGUAGAAGAUGCUUCGGGUGCGGCUCCGGUCUAAGUUCCUUGGAACAGGACGUCAUAGAGGGUGAGAAUCCCGUAUGUGAUCGGUUACUUGCGCCCAUGUGAAGCUCUUUCGACGAGUCGAGUUGUUUGGGAAUGCAGCUCAAAAUGGGUGGUAAAUUUCAUCUAAAGCUAAAUAUUGGCCAGAGACCGAUAGCGCACAAGUAGAGUGAUCGAAAGAUGAAAAGCACUUUGGAAAGAGAGUUAAACAGUACGUGAAAUUGUUGAAAGGGAAGCGCUUGCAACCAGACUUGCGCGUUGCCGAUCAUCCGGGGUUCUCCCCGGUGCACUCGGCCUCGCUCAGGCCAGCAUCGGUUUUGGUGGUGGGAUAAAGGCCUUGGGAAUGUAGCUCCUUUCGGGGAGUGUUAUAGCCCUCGGUGCAAUGCCGCCUACCGGGACCGAGGACCGCGCUUCGGCUAGGAUGCUGGCGUAAUGGUUGUAAGCGAC
rnacentral:rRNA from 1 species